GACGAACGCUGGCGGCGUGCUUAACACAUGCAAGUCGAACGGAAAGGCCCUGCUUUUGUGGGGUGCUCGAGUGGCGAACGGGUGAGUAACACGUGAGUAACCUGCCCUUGACUUUGGGAUAACUUCAGGAAACUGGGGCUAAUACCGGAUAGGAGCUCCUGCUGCAUGGUGGGGGUUGGAAAGUUUCGGCGGUUGGGGAUGGACUCGCGGCUUAUCAGCUUGUUGGUGGGGUAGUGGCUUACCAAGGCUUUGACGGGUAGCCGGCCUGAGAGGGUGACCGGCCACAUUGGGACUGAGAUACGGCCCAGACUCCUACGGGAGGCAGCAGGGGGGAAUAUUGCACAAUGGGCGGAAGCCUGAGGCAGCAACGCCGCGUGCGGGAUGACGGCCUUCGGGUGGUAAACCGCUUUCGCCUGUGACGAAGCGUGAGUGACGGUAAUGGGGAAAGAAGCACCGGCUAACUACGU
rnacentral:rRNA from 1 species